rnacentral:lncRNA from 1 species
GAUCCAUGGAUGGUAUCCAAUACCCAAAUAUCAGAGUCUGAAUCAUUCAAUGAAAAAUAGGUAUGUAUCAUAUACAUAUCUUUUCGUGUUACACUUCCACUGUACUUCAAUCUUGCAAGAUAAUUCUUGCAAUUAUACAUCCAAUGUCUAAAUUUUUCAUAAAUAAUAUCCAUACGGACAUCAUUAUCUUCUCAUUAUUACUGACCAAUCUAGGGUCAGAAAUAUCUAGAACAUCGG